AGAUUGAACGCUGGCGGCGUGCCUAACACAUGCAAGUCGAGCGGUAACAGGUGUAGCAAUACAUGCUGACGAGCGGCGAACGGGUGAGUAAUGCUUUGGAAUCUUCCCAGUAGUGGGGAAUAACCAGUCGAAAGAUUGGCUAAUACCGCAUACGUCUGUAAAGGGAAAGCGGGGGCUCGUAAGACCUCGCGCUAUUGGAUGAGCCAAAGUCGGAUUAGCUAGUUGGUGGGGUAAUGGCCUACCAAGGCGACAAUCCGUAGCUGGUCUGAGAGGACGACCAGCCACACCGGAACUGAGACACGGUCCGGACUCCUACGGGAGGCAGCAGUGGGGAAUAUUGGACAAUGGGGGAAACCCUGAUCCAGCGACGCCGCGUGUGUGAAGAAGGCCUGCGGGUUGUAAAGCACUUUUUAGUGGGGACAAAAAGCUACGGAUUAAUACUCUGUGGUCUUGAUUUAACCCAAAGAAAAGCACCGGCUAACUCUGUGCCAGCAGCCGCGGUAA
rnacentral:rRNA from 1 species